UACGUAGGGGGCAAGCGUUGUCCGGAUUCAUUGGGCGUAAAGAGCGUGUAGGCGGCCAGGUAGGUCGGUUGUGAAAACUGGAGGCUCAACCUUCAGAGGUCGACCGAAACCAUCUGGCUAGAGUCCGGGAGAGGAGAGUGGAAUUCCUGGUGUAGCGGUGAAAUGCGUAGAUAUCGGGAGGAACACCGGUGGCGAAGGCGGCCCCCUGGUUGGAUACUGACGCUGAGACGCGAAAGCGUGGGGAGCAAACAGG
rnacentral:rRNA from 1 species